rnacentral:lncRNA from 1 species
UACUACUUUUCUUUCCUUCAAUUCUCUUUACUUUCAUUUUCUUUCCUUCUAUUUUCAUUCCUAAACCACACAUAGUCUAAAUCUUAUGUCAACCAUAAUCAUUUUAGCAAUAAAAGCGCAAAUUCAAAAUCAUCAUUUAUAUUAUUUUGUAACUAAUACAAUCUAAACUAAAUUUCAAAGGUUGAUUUAAGCAACUGAAUCAGAAACUAAGACUGGUACUCAGUGAUUCAAAAUGCGAUUUGCAGCAGAGAUUGCAUAGACAAUAUUGUUGUCGUUAGCUCCACAAUAGCAACAAACCAUAAUUGUGGUGUGAUGAGAUUCACGCUAAAAACAGCAACACAAUGGUAAUACAACCUCAACAAAAUGGUAUUAUGGCCGCAACUAAAACACAAUGCACUAGUUCACCACCACAGUUACUACAAAUCACACCAACAAAGAACAAAAUCACAUGCCCAAUACUCUACUUCCAUUUUGAGACCUCAAUAAUUCCCUUCCAUAUUUCUAAUUUUAUAAAAGAGAUGACUUGAGCUUGCUUAUUGUCAAUGGCAAAGAAGUUGGCUAUUUACUUCAUGGCUUUCCUCUAUAGAGAAAAUGAAGAAAGAAGAAUUGAAUUGACUCAUAGAGAAAAAGAAAGUUGAAUAUGAAUGCUUCAAUGGAAAGAAUGUGGAAAAAACGGGGAUGUGGGAAGAUGAGAUAUGGAAAAAUGCGGAUGUGGAAAAGAUGGUAUAUGUGGACAAAAUGUAGCCAAAUGAAAGGAGGGACUAGGGAGA